CGCGUAGGCGGCUUUGUCAGUCGGAUGUGAAAGCCCUGGGCUUAACCUGGGAAUUGCAUUCGAUACUACAGAGCUAGAGUAUGGUAGAGGGAAGUGGAAUUCCGGGUGUAGCGGUGAAAUGCGUAGAUAUCCGGAGGAACACCAGUGGCGAAGGCGACUUCCUGGGCCAAUACUGACGCUGAGGUGCGAAAGCGUGGGGAGCAAACA
rnacentral:rRNA from 1 species